rnacentral:lncRNA from 1 species
CUGAAGCAUCCAAAUAGAGUGUGUAAGCUUGAGAAGUCCAUUUAUGGACUUAAGCAAGCAUCUCGCAGAUGGAAUCUUUGCUUCGAUGAGAAAGUCAAAGUGUUUGGAUUUGUACGAAGUGAAGAUGAAUUAUGUGUAUAUGUCAAAGCUAGUGGGAGCAUAGUUAGCUUUCUCGUUCUUUAUGUCGAUAACAUACUACUCAUAGGAAAGGACAUCCCGACUCUGCAGGAAGUAAAGUCCUGGCUCGGGAAGUGUUUUGCUAUGAAGGACCUCGGAGAAGCUUCCUAUAUCUCGGGAAUAAGGAUAAUGAGAGAACGAAGUAAGAGACUGAUAGGACUUAGUCAGAACACUUACUUAGAUAGUAUACUAAAACGUUUUAGUAUGAAAAUUCGAAGAAGGGAGAAUUACCGAUACAAAGUAAUGCCAAGUUGAGUAAGACUCAAAGUCCGAGUACCGAAGUCGAAAUAGCAGAAAUGAGCCGAGUACUAUACGCUUUCCCAGUUGGCUCAAUCAUGUAUGCUAUGACUUGUACUUGCCCUGAUGUAGCCUUUGCUUUGAGCAAGGUUAGUAGAUAUCAAGGGAACCCUGGCAGAGCCCAUUGGAUUGCGGUCAAGAAUAUCCUUAAGUACCUUCGGAGGACCAAGGAAUUGUUUCUAGUCCUCGGGGGGAGUGAUGAAUUGAAGGUGCGAGGGUAUAGUGACGCCAGCUUUCAAACCGACAGGGACAACUACCGUUCGCAGUCGGGCUGGGUCUUUACCCUUAAUGGAGGAGCAAUAAAUUGGAAGAGUUCCAAGAAGGAAACCGUAGCUGAUUCAACGUGCGAAUAAGAGUACAUUGCAGUGAGCGAAGCGUCGAAUGAGGCAAUAUGGUUAAAGAACUUCAUUGGUGAUCUUGGAGUUGUGCCUACCAUCAAAGAGCCUAUGGAGAUUUUCUGUGAUAAUGAAGGAGCGGUUGCCCUGACCAAGGAACCGAGGGAUCAUGGUAGAUCUCAUCAUAUCAACAGAAAAUAUCAUUUCAUUAGACAUCGAGUAGAAGAAGGACACCUCGUGGUGAGGAGGAUAUCAUCAGAAGAUAACCCAGCAGAUCCGCUUACGAAGGGACUGAGUAGAGUUAAGCAUUUGCAGCAUGCUAGGAGUAUUGGGCUGAGAGAUGAUAUUAGAUUAGAUUAGGUGAUUUUAGAAACUUGUAAUAGAUAAAUCUAAUUUAACAUUUGAUGAAUAAAUAAAGGAUUAUUAUUUAUAAGUAAAGUUACUAUCUUAUGUUAAAUAUUUAACUAUUGUUUCACUUUGCAUGUUUUGACUUCCAGAAUAAUUGAAUUUAUUUAGAAUAAACAAAUUAUUCAAACAGUCCACAAUCGUUCAUAUUUUGGAAGUAGGUAUGAAUGAAGAUUGUCAUGAAUUGGUAUGUAGAUUGUCUAAAUGGUAUUAGACAUAGCAAAAGUUUGCUGCAACGUUCAUGAGUGCUUAUGAACUAGUUUUGAGCAUUGGAACAAACCCGCGCUUGCUGGAAUCACCUUAUGGAAUCUAUCGAAAAGGGUGAUCGCAAGACGAUAAUAUCAUAUGGUCUUAAAACCUAGAUAUAUGGUUUGUUAUUUGUUAAUUGGUUGUACAUUGAUAAUCCGAAACCGCAUCAGUAAAUUGAUGUUAUAAAAUGCAUUGUUGUGUAUAAUUGAUUAAUGAAUAAGUAAAUGCAUAAAAGUCAAAGUUUAUCUGUUACUUUUGUCCUAAGAGGCUAAAAGCGAUAUCUCGGCUGCUCGAUGAUUUGAUUCGACUUAUGUGUCGGGCCCGGUCAGAACUGAAUUGAUGUGUUCGAUUAAGUUCUAUGUCAAAUAAAUCUGAGAUCGAGAAACCAAAUGCUAGACAAUUGGUUCCAUAUAAAUGUUUGCAUGAUAUCUAAACAGAGGAUUGUACAAUCCCUUAUCUAAAGGACAAGAUUGAUAAGAUCAGAGUUUGACAACAUCUUUGAGAGCUAUGAUUGCUAAUCGCGUUAUACUUGUAUAUAUAGUUACUAGAAUUAUCCAAGUGGGAGACUGUUGGAAUAGUGUCUAAGGUUGCAACUAUAUUUGACAAGUAUUUGAGCCGGUUGUGCAUGGUCAUUUUGGGUUGCCUUCACCAUAGCAACUUCACAGGAUGAUUUAUAAUGAUAGAAGAAAUAUUAUUAAUAUAUUAUGAGAAUAAUAUAAGGAAUAAUAAUAUUGUUAUUUGAUUAAUAUAAGUCAUAAAUUUAUUAGGAAUUAAUUUGGUGACUUAAAGAGAUUAAUUGAAUAAAGGGGCAUAAACUGUCAAUUGUAUGAUAGUUGUACUUUGGGCUAUAAUCCCUUAUGGAUAAGGGGUGGACGGUUUUGGGGCUUAGGAUAGACCUAGAAUUCGUCCAAGGCUUAUCAUAAGGAGAUUGGAUUGCUUAGGGCCUAAGUUAUCCAAUUAGGGUUUAAAGGGUGAAACCCUAGGAGCCUCAUUAGUAUAAAUCGACCCAAGGGGUCAAGGAAAUUGGCACUCUUGUGUUUAAAGAAACCCUGGCCGAUUUCUUGCUCCCCUCUCCUCUCUCUCUAAUCAUCCUCUUGCUAAGUUGGUGUUUGUAAGCCAUUAGAGGAGUGACACUUGUGACUCUAAAGCUCCAAGGACAAGAAGAUUCAAGCAAGUGAUUCAAGGUAAUCUUCCAAAUCUAAUUUCUUGUGUUAUUAUGCUAGAAUUAUCAUUAGAAGUCUUGGAUACAAUGCAUGUUCAAUUAGAGAAACCUAGAUCCAAGCAUUAGGGUUUGUAUGUGCACAUAGGAAUGUUCUUAUGGCUCAAACCCAUCAGAACAUUCAAGCCUUGAUGGCUAUACAUAGCUCGUAUAGACUAGAUAUCUAUAGAGGGGUCAGUGUGAGUCACACUAUACAGAUUCUUUACAAGUGUUGCUAUAAAAUGGCGAUUAUUUACUUAUAUUAGUAGACUUCCACCGUAAAUUGCUUGAUAGAACACUAUAACUGUCAGGAUAGCAUAUAUCUUGUUCAAUAUUACCUGACUCAUGACCUCUACAGAAGACUUAUAAUCAUUUUCUCUUAAAUCAUUAUCGAGAAAUAUGCCUACAAAGAAGUCUAACAGGAAGAAAAACAAGCCUCCAACAAAUCCACCAUCGCUGCCACCUCCCCAGUAUGAUCCUGCUAUCUUCUAAGCAGCAGUAACAGCUGAUGUGGUUGCCGCCAUGUCGCAGAUCAAUGCAAGUGGCACAAGCAGGGCAGGUAGUGGUGCUAACCUUUUUAAUCAAGGAGAUAUUCAAGGACACCCAAGAGAGUGUUCCUUUAAGGACUUCACGAAUUCGAAACCUAAGUCCUUCGAUGGCACUAGAGGUGUCAUUGCAUUCACCCAUUGGUUCGAGAAAACCGAAUCAUUAUUCAAAAUCUGUGCGUGCCCCGAGGCCAGCAAAGUGAAGUUUGCAGCAUGCACUUUCACAAACAGAGCCCUCACUUGGUGGCUGAGCCAAGUUAAGUCACUGACUCUUCUGAUAGCCAAUGCUAUGAGUUGAGGUUUGAAGGAGUUAAUGCUGGCUGAAUACUGCCCGAGGGGCGAGAUGCAAAAACUUGAGCAAAAGCUCUGGAACCUGAAGAUCAAGGGCUUCAACGUCGCUGCUUACACUACAAGAUUCAGUGACCUAUUUCUACUGUAUCCUGGGAUGGUCACCCCGGAAAGUAAGAAGGUGGAGAGGUACAUCUAGGGAUUAACUCCCCUACUCAAGGGAAUGUUCUAGCUGCCAGUCCACUUACUUUUUACAGUGCCAAGCGUCUGGCACAUACACUGAUAGAUCACGAAGAUCGCCAAGACUUUGUAACAUCCAUUCCUGAACAACCCAAGGAGGUUAGCAACAAGAAGAAGUUAUGGAACAAAAGAAAGGGACAAUCUUCGCAAGAGCCCUCGAAGAAACAGAAAACAGUGGAGGUCCAUGCUGCUACCAUUCAUCUUGCUGUUCCUACUACUCAAACACCUCCUAGUCGAUAUGCUGGGAACCUACCGAUGUGUAAAAAGUGCAAUUUUCACCAUCACGAACCUUUCCAUGAGUUGCAGUGCAAUAAUUGCAACAGGAAGGAGCACACAGCCCAAUUCUGCAAGACGCCAGAACAAGCAACCAACCAGACCCCCAGAACUGGAGUACGCCAAGCCUGCUAUGGGUGUGGUGAAAUCAGACACUACAAGAGGGAUUGCCCGAAGGUAUGAAAUGAUGGCAACAUAGGAAGAGUGCUGAAAAUGGGCCAGGAGGAAGCAAUAGCUGAUCUUACUGUAGUCACGGGUACGUUACUACUCGAUAACUCUUAUGCAUGCAUACUAUUUGAUAGCGGUGCAGAGAGGAGUUUCAUCAGCCAGAAAUUCAAAUACUUACUAAAACACAAACCAUCACCUCUAACUAAAACAUUCACUAUUGAAAUGGAUAACGGAAAGAAAGAAAACACUAACGACAUAUUCAUAGGUUGUACCCUCACUCUAAACGACUAUUCCUUUCCAAUCGACCUUUUGCCGGUCUCCAUAAAAAGCUUCGAUGUCAUCAUCGACAUGGAUUGGUUAAGACCUAAUCAUGCUGAGAUGCUUUGUUUUGAAAAAGCCAUUCACCUCAAUCUGCCAAAUGGUGAAGCCCUUGUUAUCUACGGAGACAAAACUAAUACGAACCUUCGCAUCAUUUCAUGCAUCAAAGUCCAAAAAUACCUACGAAAGGAAUUUCAUGCUUUCCUAGCUCAUGUCGUCAACGAAAAACAAGAAGUUAAAGACCUCGAGAGCAUUCUUGAAGUCUGUAAUUUUCCUAACAUCUUUCCUGAAGAUCUUCUAGGAGUUCCUCCCAAACGACAAGUUGAGUUCCGAAUUGACUUGAUUCUUAGAGCUACCAUUAUAGCUAAAUCCUCGUAUCGCUUAGCACCAGUAGAGAUGGAAGAAUUAUCUAGCCAGCUAAAUGAACUACUCAGUAAAGGAUUCAUUCAACUGAGCUUCUCACCCUGGGGAGAACCGGUCUUGUUCGUUAAGAAGAAGGAUGGGUCUUUCCGAAUGUGUAUAGAUUAUCAUGAACUCAACAAACUUACCAUUAAGAACUGAUACCCUCUUCUGCGAAUAGACGAAUUCUUCGAUCAACUGCAAGGAGCCAACUACUUUUCAAAGAUAAACCUAAGAUCAGGGUAUCACCAAUUACAGGUUCAUGAGAAUGAUAUUCCCAAAAUAGCAUUCUGAACUUGUUAUGGUCACUACGAAUUUGUAGUAACGCCCUUUGGUCUAACCAACACACCCACAGUGUUCAUGGAUUUAACGAACACGAUAUGCCGUCCCUUCCUAGACAAAUUUUUGAUAGUCUUCAUAGAUGAUAUACUUGUCUACUCACAAAGUAAGGAAGAACACAGCUAGCACCUAAGACAAGUGUUAGAAACUUUAAGAGCGGAAAAGCUUUACGUUAAGUUCUCAAAGUGUGAGUUUUGGAUUAGGAAGGCUAGUUUCCCUGGUCACGUUGUUAGCAAGGAAGGUAGACAUGUGGACCCCCCCCCUAAAAUAAAGGUAGUCGGGAACUGGUCAGCUCCCAGAAUGUCUACAGAGAUCCGCCAAUUUUUAGGCCUUGUUGGCUACUACCACAGAUUCGCACAAAACUUCUCCAGAAUCGCUAAACCUCUUACUGCCCUGACUCAGAAGGGUGUAACCUUUAGCUGGGGAGAGAAACAAGACACUACAUUCCAAAAACUGAAGCAAGCCCUGUGCAGUGCACCUAUCCCAUCUCUUCUAGAUCGGACAGAAGACUUCGUAGUAUACUGCGAUGCAUCCAAUCAGUGGCUAGGUUGUGUGGUUAUGCAGCGAGGAAAGGUUAUUAUCUAUGCCUCGAGAUAGCUAAAGGCACAUUAAGUUACCUACACCACUCACGAUCUUGAUUUGGGAGCCGUGGUCUUUACACUGAAAAUAUGGAGACAUUACCUUUACGGUAGCAAGUCCACCAUCUUCACCGACCACAAAGCCUUCAACAUAUCCUUGAUCAGAAAGAACUUAACAUACGACAACGAUGAUGGGUAGAACUACUCAAUGAUUACGAAUGUGAAAUUCAUUAUCACUCCGAUAAUGCCAAUGUAGUUGUAGAUGCCCUUAGUCAGAAGGAGUACUCAGGUCGUAGGGUGAAGGCACUAACCAUGACAAUCCAUUCACAUCUGUCCACACAGAUCAAGGAGGCUCAGCUAGAAGCCUUGAAGCCAUAUAAUGUGGCAGAUGAAGCCUUAAGAGGAAUGGAGAAAAACUUUGAAAUCAAAGGUGACGGGGUUCGUUAUUUCAUGAACCGGAUCUAGACACCAAGAUUCGAUGGGUACAGAGAUGUCGUCAUGAAUGAAGCCCACAAAACUCGAUAUCCCCGAACUGCUCCCAAGUAACUGCAACUCUCUAGUCAUCCGAAUACGACCCAAUCAUCAACCAACACCAGUCCCUUGCCCCGAUCCUCACUAGGUUCAGGGCACAUUUGACCUUCUAGUUAGUAGGACAUGAACAUGUGAAGAAACAACCCUCCAUGUCAGAAAUCUACCUCAUGGAUUUGAUGGGGUCCUGAGUCCCAUCAAAAGUAGGGGGCUUCAUGUUAUUGAAGUCCUUGUACUGAAAUGCCCGACUAGCUCCUCCCCCUGCCGCUGUUACAGCUGUUGUAGCUGUUGCAACAGCCGACUCAGUAAAGGAUACAUAAUGCUCGUUGAAAUACUCAACCAUGGCGGUCUUAAUAGACUAAAACAUCUUCGGCAGCUGUUCCCGGAACAGAUUAGCAACCUCAUCAUUUAAGAUCUCCUGAAUCCUAGCAUCUAGCUCAUCCAUCUUCAUCUGACCAACAACCUCGGGUACCGCCGGUCUCUCCUGAUAGCCAUCUCCUAAUCCUGAUCCGGAUCCAGAUCCAACAACAAAGCGUCUCGUAAUCACCAUACUGAAAAUAUACAAGGAAAUUAUCAGAUAAUCCGCAUAAUAACAAGGAACAAACUCCCAACAAAACCCUAGGGGUUAUCACUUCCUUGAUACGCGUAUGGGUCCUGUGCUUUCAGUAGUACAGGCCCAUACUGGAACGACCCAAAAAUUUCAAUUUUUAUAACAGAAACCAUGAAACUGAGUAUCACAUAAUAAAACCAUAUGUUGCGUGUUUCAAAAAAACAUAAUAAAAUACUGUGAGAAAAAUUGUAUCACAACUGUAUCCAAACAUAUCAAGAAACUGAAUCAACUCCCAAGACAAAAACUGAAGCUGUGGUGUAUGCGAUGCCAUCAUCCCGAGCUCUUCCCUUUUGUUGGCGGAAGUACCUGAAACCAAAACUGAAACUGUAAGCACGAAGCUUAGUGAGCUCCCCCAGACUACCACAUACCAAACAAUACAUAUAAAGCACAUACUGGGCCUUGCCCACUAGCUGGGACCCCAUCCCCUGCAUCGGACCGAAGUCCGGACUAACUGACUGGGACCCCGUCCCCUACAUCGGACUGAAGUCCGAAACUGACUGGGACCCCGUCCCCUACAUCGGACUGAAGUCCGAAACUGAUUGAACACAGCGUAGCAUAACAUAUCAACUAGCAUAAACACAUAAAUCUUGUCUGAGCCACGGAGGCGUCAAACAUACUAACUACUACAUUCGACCGAAGUCCAGAAACUACUACUAACUGAACGGGCCGGCAUUUCGGCCUUAGACCUGUUCCUACUGGAAGGAAACUCACCUCGUGACUGGUUGCUGUGUGUAUGGCUCUGGAAACUAACUGCUGCAGCUUCGGUAUCUUCCCGACUACAAAUCCAUAAACACACCCAAUCAGAUGCUAAUCACUGCAUUGGGUAAAAUGACUCUUUUACCCCUGGUCAAAGUCAACUCUCCCAGUCAAAGUCAACCAACAGUUGACUUGACUCGCUGAGUUGGGCCGCCAACUCGCCGAGUCCCUAGUCUCACUUUUCAACCCUACUUGUGGCUACUCGUCGAGUAUGGCAUCGACUCGACGAGUACCCUCUUGAUUCAAAAGCUCAGGCAAUCUACAUCCGACUCACCGAGUUGUAUGAACAACUCGUCGAGUCUCUCCAUUACUGAGUUGUAACGACCCGUUCCCAUUAUGUUGAUUUAUUGGUAAUUAUAGUGAGUUUCUCAAGAGGGACUCGACGAGUUCUAGCCUGACUCGCCGAGUAGGGUCGCGCCAGAGGGCACGCGUGAGCCGGGGACUCGGCGAGUCCAUAUCCCUGACUCGGCGAGUCCAUCUGUCUGGGUGAAACCCUAAAAUCCCUGGGUUGCCCACUAUUUAUACCACCUUAUAGCCCCCAUUCUCGCCUCCCUCACCCUGAGAACGCAGUGAUAGAGCCUUAAACCUCCCUUGAAGAGCUUAUAUGUGUUUUGGUGCCAUUUUGUGAAGGUGUGAAGAAGGAGAAGAAGGAAGAAGCAAGGAGAAGUGUUGUAGUGCAAAGAUCCAAGGCCAAAUCAGAGCUAAUUGAGGUAUUUUCGGAGUUCCAUCUUGUUAUAUGCUUUAAACUUCCAUUAGAGCUCUCCUAAGAGCUAGUUGAUGCUUGUUCCAAGCCUUACACUUGCAUGAACGCCUUAUUAAGUCGAAAUAGCUAUGGAUCUGAAUGUUGGGGUGUUGUAGAGCCCAGAUCUACUGUCUUUUUGGAGUUAUAUUGUAUGAUAACCAUAGAUCUACCCAUUUUGUGCAUCUUUUAGCCUUAUUUCCCUUAUUCAUGAGGUUGUGCACGUAAAGUUGGAAACUUUACGUGGUAAAUCAGCUUAUGGGACUCAGAUCUAUCAAUUGUAUGCAUUGGAUUCAAACAAAAUCGAGUAAAAAUCUGUUGCAUGGCGGCAACUCGGUGAGUCGGAAGAACGACUCGACAAGUUGGGUCGCGAGUCCCGAGUUCUUCAGUUUUAUCAGUGUCGAGUGGACGAGGUGAGUUAGAGAGUGGACUCAGCGAGUUAAGGGUGAACUCAGUGAUGGAGGGACUCGGCGAGUCCAAGGCAAUCUUCUUGGGAUCAAGAACAACUCGUCGAGUCUGUUCAUACGACUCGGUGAGUCGGAUGAAGAUUGUCUGAGUUCUUGGAUCAAGAGGGUACUCGUCGAGUCGAUGCCAGACUCGACGAGUAGCAGUGAGUAAGAGUGAAAAGUGAGAGUGGGACUCGGCGAGUUGGGUGGCCCAACUCGGCGAGUCAGCCCAAAAGAUAAUUGACUUUGACCGAGGGUAAAAGAGUCAUUUUACCCCAAGCGCAGUGUUUAGUAUUUGAUUGAGUGUGUUUAUGGACUUGUAGCCGGGGAGAUACCGGAGCAGCAGCAGCUAGCUUUCAGAGCCNCACACACUCAGCAGCCAGCUUACGAGGUGAGUUUCCUUCCAGUAGGAACGGGUCUAAGGCCACAGUGCCGGCCCGUUCAGUUAGUAGUAGUUUCUGGAUUUAGGUCCGAUGCAGUAGCUAGUAUGUUCGAUGCCUUCUUGGCUCGAACAGGAUUUGUGUGCUAUGUUUCAUGUAUUAAGUAUUAUGUGUUCCGGGCCACGGCCCGACCUAGCAUGUCGUAUAUGUGUUAUGCUAGUUGAUGUGUUAUGCUAUGCCAUGUUCAGUCAGUCAGUUCCGGACUUCGGUCCGAUGCAGUUAGUUCCGGACUUCGGUCCGAUGCAGGGGACAAGGUCCCAGUCAGUUCCGGACUUCGGUCCGAUGCAGUUAGUUCCGGACUUCGGUCCGAUGCAGGGGACAAGGUCCCAGUCAGUUCUGGACUUCGGUCCGAUGCAGUCAGUUCCGGCCUUCGGUCCGAUGCAGUUAGUUCCGGACUUCGGUCCGAUGCAGGGGACAAGGUCCCAGUCAGUUCCGGACUUCGGUCCGAUGCAGUUUCCGGGUUUCGGCCCGAUGCAGUGGGCAAGGCCCAAUACGUGUUUAUAUGUUAUUGUAUGGUAUGUGGUAGUUUGGGGGAGCUCACUAAGCUUCGUGCUUACAGUUUCAGUUUUGGUUUCAGGUACUUCCGUAAGCAAAGGGAAGAGCUCGGGGUGACGGCAUCGCACACACCACAGCUUUAGCUUUUAGCCUGGGAUUGAUUUAGUUUGUUUUGAUUUGCCGUAGUAUGAUACAGUUUCCGCACAGUGUUUUCUAUUAUGUUGGAAUACAUCACGUAUGGUUUUAUUAUAUGACACUCUGAUUAUGGUUUUGAUUAUAUCGAAAAACGAAAUUUUUGGGUUGUUUCAUGAGUCUAACCUCCGACUCACUGAGUCCACCCUACUACUCACUGGCCUCCACUCGGAAUCACUCAAAGGGUAAAGAUCGGGGACCCGCGACCUGACUCGCCGAGUCCAAAGAACGACUUGUCGAGUCAGAUGCAUGCAGAUUCUAAAAACUUGAUUUUGCUCAAAACCACCGCAUACAAUUUAUAGAUCUGAGUUUCUAAGGCUGAUUCACCACAUAAAGUUUCCAACUUUACGUGUACAUACGCAUGAAAAGGGAUAUAAAGGCUAAAGAGGUACUUAGAAGAGUAGAUCUAGGGCUAUCAUGCAAAAUGGCUCUAUAAAGGAGAUAGAUCUACGAUUUUGGAACUGAAACAUGGCUAGAUCCGAAGGCUAAUCANGAUAGUAUGAGCUUAGCAUCCUAUGCUAGUGCAGUUUCUUGUUAUAAGAAUAGUUUUGCCUGAGUCUAUUUCCCUUGUCCGAAUGCUGCUUGCUUCGUGCUUGGUGGGGUUCUGAGUACUGGGAGUUAGCCAUUAGGUGAACCCGUCACACCACAUGUAAUCAGGUUUGAAUAAUCCCAGAGUGCUGNCUUCAAGAUUCACACAAGAAAUGCUCAAUAACUCAAAUAAAUGAUUAGGGUUUUCUAAAUGGUGCUCUGAGGGUGAGGGGACGCGUUUGGGGCUCAUAAGGUGGUUUAAAUAGGGUGCAAACCCGGGGAUUUAGGGUUUCUACAAGGUAGGUAGACUCGCCGAGUCCCGAAUAUGGACUCGCCGAGUCACCGACUAACAUGUGCUCGAAAUCUCGUCCCUACUCGGUGAUUCGGGCCAUAGACUCGUCGAGUGCCUCUCAAAAACUUCUAAAUAAAUGCCACAAAAGCAACAUACCAGAAAUGGGGCGUUACAAUUCUCCCCCACUUGACUUAGACUUCGUCCUCGAAGUCUGCUACGGCUGAAUCUUCAAAUAGCUCCGGGUAGUGCUCUCUCAUUUCCUCCUCAGCCUCCCACGUCCACUCAGACCCCUUCCGGUGCUGCCACUGCACCUUCACUAACUGAAUUACCUUGUUCCUCAAGGUCUUUGUCUUCCGGUCUAGAAUCGCGACCGGCCUCUCAAUAUAAUUCAGGCUGNCAAGAGAUUUAGCAGAGCUCCCGGGGAGCUGGAUUGUCCACUAGAGGUUGAGAUAGCAGAUGAUAGGACCGUGAGGGUCGGCAGAGUACAUAGAGGGUGUUUCCUUCAGAUAUUUGAUGAGCAGUUUUCAGUAGACCUGGUUCCUAUUCCCCUGCGUGGGAAUAAAGUUAUUGUGGGCAUCGAUUGGCUGAGCCCAAUGGGGCGGUGAUUGAUUGUGAGCUACAGCUAGUGAGGGUUCGCACUCCCAGUGGGGGAGAGAUAGUGAUUCAGGGCGAGANAAACCUGAUGACACCCUUCCAGGGUGAGACCUUCAGAAGAACCAUAUCACCCACCCGGAACUCCAAGUAUGAACGCCUCGUGUCGGCGUAGCUCUUCUGCCGACUCUGCGCAGUCUGUAGUCUACUACGGACCUGCUGAAUCAACUCGGUCAUCUUGAGCACCACCUCUGUGCUCCCAACGACCCGUUGACUGACCCCGCCCCAACAAAUAGGGGUCCUACACUUCCUCCCAUAAAGCAUCUCAAAGGGAGGUCGAUCAAUGGUCGCAUGAUAACUGUUGUUAUACGAAAAUUCCGCUAACGGAAGAUACGUAUCUCAACUGCCACCGAAGUCUAGAACACAUGCCCUGAGCAUGUCCUCGAGAGUCUGAAUCGUCCUCUCGCUCUGCCCAUCCGUCUGAGGGUGGAAAGCGGUGCUGAAAUGGAGACGAGUACCCAUCUCGUCGUGAAACCGCUUCCAGAAUCUGGAUGUAAAACGGACGUCUCGGUCGGACACCACCGAUACCGACACUCCAUUACGUGCCACGAUCUCACGCACAUAGAUAUCAGCUAACUUUUCUACCGAUAUACUCUCCUGGAUCGGGAUAAAAUAAGCACUCUUCGUUAAUCGAUCCACUACAACCCAUAUCGAAUCUAACCCUCGUGCGGUCCUGGGAAGCAUGGUGAUAAAAUCCAUGGUGAUGUCCUCCCAUUUCCACACGGGAAUGUCUAACGGUUGCAUCUUGCCGUGAGGCUUCUGGUGCUUCGCCUUGACCUUCCUGCAGGCAGGCAUCUCUCAACAUACCAAGCGACAUCCCGCUUCAUGCAGGGCCACCAAUAAUCGGGUCGAAGAUCUCUAUACAUCUUCGUCGCCCCUGGGUGGAUAGAAAAUCGAGACUUAUGAGCCUCGUCCAUCAACACCUGCCAUACCCCACCCCAGUACGGUACCCACACUCUCCCAUGAAGCGUCAGCAAUCCCCGACUGCCAUAAUCAAACGAAGCUACUUGGCCCACUAUGCUCUCACACUUCUGCCUCUCCUCCUUAAGGCCUUCAACCUGAGCCUCCCUGAUUCAUUCCAACAAUGGAGUAAUCACUGUCAUCCUCAAACACAAAUCUCUGAUAGGGGCUGCCGACACCUUGCGGCUUAGGGCGUCGGCCACCACGUCGGCCUUCCCUGGAUGGUAAUGGAUUUCACAAUCAUAAUCCUUUAGCACAUCCAACCACCUCCUCUGCCUCAUGUUCAGACUCGGCUGGUCCAUAAGGUACCUCAAACUCUUGUGAUUUGUGUAGAUAGUACAACGGACCCCAUAAACAUAAUGUAUCCAAAUAUUGAGGGUAAACACAACCGCCCCCAGCUCUAAAUCAUGGGUAGGAUAAUUAGCCUCGUGAGGCUUUAACUGUCUCGAGGCNGGUAGGAUAGUUAGCCUCGUGAGGCUUCAACUGCCUCGAGGCGUAAGCUAUCACAUGGCCUCGCUGCAUCAACACUGCUCCCAUACCUGUGAUUGAGGCAUCACAGUAGACUACAAAGUCCUCUACUCCCUCUGGCAAGGUAAGGAUCGGAGCCUCGCACAAUCUCUGUCUGAGGGUCUCGAACGCUGCCUGCUGCUCAGGCCCCCAACGAAAUACCACCGACUUCUUGGUCAGUCGGGUGAGCGGCACUGCUAUCUUGGAGAAAUCCUGAAUGAACCUCCGGUAAUAUCCUGCCAACCCUAGGAAGCUCCGAAUCUCAGAUGGAAACUUCGGGACCUCCCACUGCAUCACGGCCUCUAUCUUGGCCGGAUCCACCAAAAUACCCUUCUGGUUGACGAGGUGACCAAGGAACUGCACCUCGCGCAACCAGAACUCACACUUGGAGAACUUGCGAAAAGUCUCUCCCUCCUCAAAACUUCUAGCACCUCCCUCAGGUGCUCCUCGUGCUGCUCCUGUGUCUUGGAAUACACCAAGAUAUCAUCUAUGAAUACUAUCACUAACCGAUCCAGCAUCGGUCUACACACGCGAUUCAUGAGAUCCAUGAAUGCGGCUAGAGCAUUGGUGAGCCCAAAUGGCAUCACCACAAACUCAUAAUGACCAUACCUGAUCCUGAAAGCAGUCUUCUGCACAUCCUCAUCCCUAACCCGCAUCUGAUGUUAUCCGUAGCGUAGAUCGAACUUGGAGAACCAAGACGCUCCCUGAAGCUGGUCAAACAAAUCAUCUAUCCUUGGAAGUGGGUAACAGUUCUUCACCGUUACUAUAUUCAACUCCUGGUAAUCUAUACACAUAUGGUUCAACCCAUCCUUCUUCCUCACAAACAGGAUCGGCGCUCCCCAAGGCGAACUACUAGGCCGAAUGAAACCCUUGUCUAGCAGCUCCUACAGCUGCGUAGACAACUCCUGCAUCUCAGGGGGAGCUAGACGGUACGGUGCCCUGGCUAUCGGAGCCGCACCAGGAAUCAGGUCGAUCCUAAACUCAACCUGCCUCUCAGGAGGUAUUCCCGGUAAAUCCUCGGGAAAUACAUCUGGGAAGUCUCGCACUACCGGAACAUUAUCAACUAUCGUCUUGCCCUUCUCCCGGGCAUCCAAGACAUAUGCUACAUAACCAGCACAACCCUACUGAAGAUAGCGCCUCGCUCUCGCGGAGGAACAAAAGGUUGGUCCGCGCUGUGGCCUCUCGCCCUGAAUCACUAACUCUCCCCCACUGGGAGUGCGAACCCUCACUAGCUGCAGCUCACAAUCAAUCACCACCCCAUUGGGACUCAGCCAAUCCAUGCCUACUAUAACCUUAUUCCCUCGCAGGGGAAUAGGAACCAGAUCCACCGAAAACUGCUCGUCGAACAACUAAAGAGAACAGCCUCUAUGCACUCUAGCGACCCUCAUGGUCCUAUCAUCUGCUAUCUCAACCUCUAGUGGACAAUCCAGCUCUCCUGGAGCCCUACUAAACCUCUUGCUAAGCGCAAGCGAUACAAAUGAUCGGGUAGCCCGCGAAUCAAACAAUACCAUAGCAGAAAUGUCGUUCACAGAGAACGACCCUAUAUCAAACAUAUAAUCAUAAGUAAUAAUCAAUCAAUCAAUAAUAAUAUAGAGAUGAAGGGAAGAUGCAUACCUACCACCACAUCAGGAGUCGCUCGCGCCUCCUCUGCUGUCAUCUGAAAAGCCCUACUCUUCGCCACUGGCGCCUCGGCUUGGCCCUGCCGGCCAUCUGUAAUCCUCAAAGUAGCAGGGGUAGGUGCAGCCACCUUCCCUACUGCAGCUAAACUCGAGCACUGGGACUUUUUAUGUCCCCUCUGAUUGCACUGAAAGCAAAUCAGAUCUGAUUCUGCAAUGGCAGUAGCAGGGGUCAUACAAUCCCUGCUCAAAUGCCCAAUCCGACCGCACUUGAAGCAGCCGGAACUCCCUGCUUUGCACACCCCAUCGUGCAUCCUCCCACACUUGCCACAUCGACCGUGGCUCGGCUGAAUUCUGGAUCUGUGAUCUGAAACCUUGGGCUUUUUGCCCGAGCCUCCUGUACCCGAAACCGCCUCCGGUUUCCUCUUCUUCUCCAUCUCGAGAUCAAUCUCCCUCUCUCGAGCCCUAGCAAUCAUGUCAUCCAGCGUUUUACAGCUAGACCAGCUCACAAACUGGCGGAUAUCGCUCCGCAACAUCUCAUGAUAACGGGCCUUCUUCAUCUCCUCAUCGGCUGCAUACUGAGGAACAAAAAGAGACCUCUCCCUGAACUUGGCGGUGAUCUCUGCCAUGGUCUCUGUAGUCUGAGUGAGGUCCUAAAACUCUCUAGCUAACUGCUGCACCUCAAUAACCGGUGUAAACUCCGCCCUGAACCUGGUAGAGAAAUCAGACCAGGUCAUGGCAUCUAACGCUGCAUCAUCUGCAAUGGUAUGUCCGACCUCUUCCCACCAAUCCCAUGCCCUGUCCUUCAGAAGACAGGAUACCAAUCUAACCUUGUCCCCCUCGGGACACCUGCUCGUGCGGAAAGCGUUGGCCACAUCCGCCAACCAUCUAGUACUCGUUAUGGGGUCUCGCGCCCCAUGGUAAUCUAGAGCUCCACAUGCCCUGAACUCCCUGAACGUAAGUGUGCGCGACCCCAUCAUGGCCGCCACCUCGGCACGGAAAUUGCCCAACCUCUCAUCCAUCAGCUCUAGGAUACCCUCCUUGAUCGAACUGAAGAUCAUAGGAUUCUGCUCUAAAAUGAUACGAGUAAUCUCCGAAGAAAGAAACUAUCACACCCCCAAACCAGAACGACGGAAACGUUCGGGGGCGGAGGACGUCAUAUUUAGUAUCAUAACAUCUCAUAGAAAGGAGAGUACACACCACCAUAUAUAUAAAAGUUUUCCAAGUGUCUACAUAAUUGUAUUCGUUACAUGUUCAAAAGAUAAAUACAUAGACAUCUUUCAAAAGAAGUAAUUAACGUCAGCGCGUUAAUCCCCAAAAGUUUAUUUCCAAACCUGCUUAGCGGUUCCCUGAGAAUACAAGUCAUUUCAAAGAAAAAGUGUCAACAAUUAAGUUGGUGAGUUCAUACGCGGUUUUGAGAAAUUGUAUGCCAUUCCAAAGUUCAUGCGUUUUCCAAGAAAAUCCCUUAUUUUCUUAUAAAAGUAUAAAAUGCAUGAGAAUAUUUGUAUUUUAAAAUGUAGAUAGUUAAAUCAAGAAAAUACCUUAUUUUCCUAUUAGUUGAUUGUUUUGUAUAUAAGAAAAUCCCUUAUUUUCCUAAAGUAACAAGCAGUCUAAUGUCCAAGACCGAAAACCGGAAGUUACUGACAUGCUUUAAAUGAUUGGGGCAUAGUUUCAUAUAGUAAAACUAUAAGAAGAUCGCAGUUGUUAGAUGAAGAAUAGUUUUAAUAGCUACUUGUUCAUAAAUCAGAAGUACUAUAAUAAUUGUAUAUCCGAUGAGUUUUAUAACCAUACUAAACAUAAUAUGCCUGUAGCGAUGUUCUUCAGGCGUCGUAGCGUUAUGACAAACUGUCACCCCAAAAAACAGACUGCAGCUAACAGUCAGGGUGCGGGAUCAUGACUUCCCUUAUAGAUCUAUACACAUUUGACACGUUCUCCCUACGGGAGACUCUGGUUAUAGACAGGACUUGAAGUGGUACCUUUUAGCAAAAAGGUAGUAUUUGAAGAUGUAAACAUCUCAUGGAUUCUCAACUAAGUCUGUAUUAAAGUAGUAGUUCCGUAUGCAACAUUUAUUCUUUUUCACAAUGUUUAACCAAGCAUAAGUCAUAAGUUAUUUGAAUGCAUAAAAUGGUUUAACAAUGAUAGUUACCUCGGAUACUAUGUACUUUGUAUAAAUCUAGUGCAUGCAAAGUAUAACAAGAGUUUUCAUAUAGUAGUUAUGAAUCUCAUAUGAUUCAUUUGAUAAAAAUGAGCAAAGUGUAACUUUAUGUAACACACGAUAAUAACUGUGUGUUUACUUGUAUUCUCCCCCGAAAUGUAUUAAAAGCACAUUAUAAAGUAUUUGAAAGUGUAUGAAAGGGGGUAUGAACACACUUGAUUGAAGUGGUUGAUUUGAAGUAGUCGAGAGAAGAAUCGAGCAGAACUUCGACACGAAGAGUUGAAAACGAGGAAAAAUCUUGGGAUUCUCGGGAAUCUCGGGAAUUUUGGGAACACAAAGCCUUCCUUCGGGACUUGAAGGUGAAAACCGUGGCUUCGGGAGGGCUUCGGGAGCUUAAACGUAGAGUUUCAGCACGAGAGAUGGAAGAAUGGAGCACCUACACCUGGCACCCCAAGAGUUCUAUUUAUAGGGGCAUUUCUGCUGUGCCACGUCGUGGCUCAGGUUGGCCACAUCGUGGGGAGCAAGCCUCAUCCUCUUCCGUUGAUUGGACACUCUCAGUCACUUGCUGGGUCACGGCCAAGCUGUGCCACGUCGUGGGGGCCUGACAGCCUCGGAUUUUGGACCCCGAACUUGUAAAAUCCGUAACAUUCGCAUACGAGCUCCGUUUUCGACGUUCUUUAUAUGCACGCAUAGCUGAAAAUGUUAUCUACAACUCUUGUGUAGACUUCAUCGGAAAAUUUUGAAUUUGUUUUUAAUUAUUUAUUUUUAACGGGCCGGGACACGAAAAGUCGGUUAAAAAUCCAUAACUUCUUCAUCCGGUGUCCGUUUUCGUCAGAUUUUUCACCGUUGCGCUACUAAUGUUGAGACCUUACAUUCUAAUUUAGGUUGUUUUGGUCAAAAGUAUCUCGAGCUCUAUUUCGAGUUUUUAGCUGUCUACUGCUAUACCCGAAUCUUGGAAAAAUCAUAACUUCCUCAUACGAAGUCAGAUUUGGACGUUCUUUUUAUGUACGCUCACGGUUUGAGGUUAUCUAUAACUUUCAUUUAGAUACUUAAGGCUAAAAACUAUUGUAUUGAAACUUCGCGUUUUUCGUUUAAUCGGUGUUGCCGGUUUUGUCGGAAAUCUUAGAAUGGUCAUAACUUCUUCGUUAUAACUCGGAUUUUAGUGUUCUUAGUAUUUCUGUAAACCUUGACACAAUAUCUAACAUAAUAGAUAUUCCUAUAAAGACUUUUGCACAUUUAUUUUUCGAAGUUAAUUUCAUUAUAUCAAAAGUGGUUACAAUACUUGACUUUUUAGGUCAUUACAUAGAGUCGAAAUAUCGGGUUGUCACAUCAUCCCCCCGUUAGAGGGAAUUUCGUCCCGAAAUUUAAUGUAAAAAAAACACUUGUGGAUUAGGGAAAAAGAUGUGGGUACUUGUGUUUCAUCUGAUCUUCGCGUUCCCAGGUGUAUUCAGGUCCUCGCUUUGCAUUCCAGCGGACCUUCACGAUGGGGAUGCGACUUUGUUUUGUUCUUUUAAUUUCCCUAUCCAUGAUUUCAAUUGGUUCUUCUAUAAAGUGGAGACUCUCGUUGAUUUCGAUCUCGUCUAAAGGGACGACGAGGGUCUCAUCGGACAAACAUUUCUUCAAGUUUGACACAUGAAAGGUAGGGUGUACGUUAUUUAGUUCUUGCGGUAGACGAAGUUUGUAGGCUACCGGGCCGAUCCUUGCGAGGAUCUCGAAUGGUCCGAUAUACCUUGGGUUUAGUUUCCCACGCUUUCCAAAACGUAUUAAUCCUUUCCAGGGCGAGACCUUUAAUAGUACUCAGUCCCCGACUUGAAAGUCCAAGGGCUUCCGUCUUUUAUCCACAUAACUCUUUUGUCUGUCUCUUAAAGCCUUUAGUCGUUCCCGAAUUUAUACAAUCUUCUCGGUUGUCUCUCUUAUGAUUUCUGGGCCAGUGAGAGUGUUGUUGGGUGCUUGUCCCUUGGCUAGUUGUGUGUCACCUACUUCAAUCCAGCACAGUGGUGAUCUGCACUUCCGGCCGUAGAGAGCUUCGAAUGGUGCAACCUUAAUGCUGGAGUGAUAGUUAUUGUUGUAUGAAAAUUCACUUAGCGGUAAAUGGGUAUCCCAUACUUUACCAAAAUCGAUUACACAAGCUCUUAGCAUAUCUUCCAGGGUUUAUAUGGUCCUCUCACUUUGACCGUCGGUUUGUGGAUGGUAAGCUGUACUCAUGUUGAGCCUCGUUCCUAGGGAUUUUUGUAACGAUUGCCAGAAUCGCAAGGUGAACCUACUAUCUCUGUCAGAGAUAAUGGAUAUUGGUACACCGUACAGUCGUACAAUCUAUCGGAUGUAAGUUCGAGUUAGCUUCUCCAUCUUAUCGGUUUCCUUAAUGGGUAGGAAGUGUGCGGAUUUUGUUAAUCUAUCGACAAUUACCCAGAUGGUGUCAUGUCCACCUGUUGUCUUGGGUAAUUUGGUUAUGAAAUCCAUGGUUAUCUGUUCCCACUUCCACUCGGGUAUUUCAGGUUGUGGUAGUAAUCCUGAUGGUUUCUGGUAUUCUACCUUGACUUUGGCGCAAGUCAGACACUUGCCCACAUAGGUAGCUAUCUCUGCUUUCAUGUUCGGCCAACAAUACAGUUUCUUGAGGUCCAGAUACAUCUUGUCUGAACCUGGAUGCACAGAGUAUCGAGUCUUAUGCGCCUCGUUCAUGACCACGUCUCUGAAUCCACCAAACUUCGGUGUCCAGAUUCGAUCCAUGAAGUAACGAACUCCGUCACCCUUGACUUCAAGAUUCUUGUCCAUUCCCCUUAGGGCUUCACCUGCCACAUUCUCUAUUUUCAAGGCCUCCUUCUGAGCUUCCUUGAUUUGUGUGGACAGAUGGGAAUGGAUCGUCAUGGUUAAGGCUUUCACUCGGCGAUCCGAGUAUUCUUUUCGACUAAGGGCAUCAGCUACUACAUUUGCUUUUCCCGGUGAUAGCGAAUCUCGCAUUCGUAGUCGCUAAGUAGUUCAACCCAUCGCCUCUGUCUCAUGUUGAGUUCUUUUUGGUUGAGUAGGUGUUAAAGGCUCUUGUGGUCUGUAAAGAUGGUGCACUUGGUACCGUAUAGGUAGUGCCUCCAGAUUUUCAGAGCGAAGACCACCGCUCCAAGCUCUAAGUCAUGAGUGGUGUAGUUGACUUCAUGUGUUUUCAGUUGUCGUGAGGCGUACGCAAUAACCUUUCCUCUCCGCAUUAGCACACAACCCAACCCUUGUUUCGAAGCAUCACAAUACACCACAAAAUCUUCGAUCCCCUCUGGAAGAGAAAGAAUGGGCGCACUGCAAAGGGCCUGUUUCAGAGUCUGAAAGGCAACAUGUUGCUUUUCUCCCCAGCUGUAGGUCACAUCUUUCUGAGUUAGGGAGGUACAAGGUUUUGUGAUGCUGUAGAAGUUCUGAAUGAACCUUCGAUAAUAACCAGCAAGGCCUAGAAAUUGGCGAAUCUAUGUUGGUGUAGUUGGUGCAGACCAAUUUUUGAUAGCCUUGAUUUUAGAUGGGUCCACGUGGAAUCCUUCCUUGCUGACCACGUGACCGAGGAAGACCACCUUUCUAAUCCAAAACUCGCAUUUUGAGAACUUCGCAUAAAGUCUCUUAGCUCGUAAUGUCUCUAAGACUUGUCUCAGAUAUUUGCUAUGCUCUUCUUUACUCUUUGAAUAAAUGAGUAUGUCGUCUAUGAAUACUAUCACAAAUUUAUCCAAGAAUGGACGACAUACCCGAUUCAUUAGAUCCAUGAAUACGGCCGGGGCAUUGGUUAGUUCGAACGGCAUCACUACGAACUCAUAAUGCCCGUAUCUUGUUCGGAAGGCCGUCUUGGGAACAUCACUCUCCAAGACACGCAGCUGGUGAUAUCCCAAUCCCAGAUCGAUCUUGGAGAAGUAGUUGGCCCCUUGGAGUUGGUCGAAUAAGUCGUCGAUUCGGGGUAGGGGAUAUCGAUUCUUGAUGGUAAGUUUGUUGAGUUCUCGGUAGUCGAUGCACAUCUUGAAUGAUCCAUCCUUCUUUUUCACGAAUAACACGGGUGCUCCCCAAGGCGAGAAGCUCGGCCUGAUGAAUCCUUUGCCGAGUAGCUCAUUCAGUUGGCUGGAUAGCUCCUGCAUCUCUGCUGGGGCUAAUCGAUAGGGUGCUUUGGCUACUGGGGUAGCUCCGGGAAUCAGAUCGAUUCUGAACUCGACUUGUCUCGCGGGUGGUAUUCCUGGAAGAUCCUCGGGAAAAACAUCGGGAAAAUCGCAUAUGUCAGGCACAUUCUUGACGUCCUGGACUUCACGUUUCACAUCCACGACAUGUGCCAAAAACGCAUGACAUUCCUUGCGUAGGCACUUUUGAGCUUGGAUACUUGAGAUGAUACGAAGAUUGGUACUGGGUUUGUCGCCCAAGAUAAUGAAAGUUUCGCCGGUUGGCAGAUUAAGGCGAACGGCCUUAUCGUAACAUAAAAUGUCCGCAUGAUGAGAAAUCAACCAAUCCAUGCCUAUGAUGACAUCGAAACUCUUAAUCGAGACUGGCAUGAGGUUGAUUGGAAAGGAAUUAUCGUUUAGAGUUAGGGUACAGUCUAAGUAUAUCUCCUUAGUGCCUUCUGUUUUACCGUUGGCCAUUUCUACUAUAAACGGUUCACUUAAUGAUUGUGGUGUUGGUUUUAGCAGGCCUUUAAAAUCAUGAUUCACAAAACUUCUCUCCGCUCCACUAUCAAACAAAAUGCAUGCAUACGAGUUAUCGAGAAGAAACGCACCCGUAACAAUAGUGGGGUCCGCAACGGCUUCAUCUUGUCCCAUUGCGAACACUCGGCCUUUUCCGCCGGUAUUCCUGUUGUUUGUCUUCGGGCAGUCCCUGCGAUAGUGUCCCAUGGCUCCACACUCAAAGUAGGCUCGGCUUACUCCGGUAUUAGCAGUGGGGGCGGCUUGUUGGGUUGGCUCCUUACAGAAGCGGGCCGUAUGCCCCUUCUUAUUGCACCUAGUGCAUUGGAGGUCACGACAGAGACCGUGGUGGUGGAAGUUGCAUUGGUUACAUUUCGAAAGUUUCCCAUUGUAUGAACUUGUGGGAGCAGUGAUGGUAGAUACAGUAAUAGCGUGGGUCGCUACCACUUGUUGUUUCUUGGGGUUCUCCUGUAUGGUUUGCCCCCUUCUUUUGUUCCAAGGCCUUCCCUGGCCCUGUACCUCCUUAGAUGGAUUGGCGGUAGCUGCAAUGGUACCUUGUUUUACCCCGUGGUCGAUGAGUCAUUGAGCCAGGUGUUUGGCGCUGUUGAAAGUGAUAGGGUUGGAAGCUAGGACAUGACCUUGAAUCUACGGUGACAGCCCCAAAUGUACCUUUCAACCUUUUUCGAUUCUGGGUUGACAAUGGUAGGGCACAAUGCAGCGAGGUCGUUGAAACUAGUUGUGUAGGCGACUAGAUCAGACCCAGUCAUCUUCAGAUUCCAAAGCUCUUGCUCAUGUUUAUGUAUCUCGCCCCUUGGGCAGUAUGCUUCCAGUAGUAGUGCCUUCAGGUCCUCCCAACUCAUGGCGUUGGCGACAGUGAGAGUCACAGAAUUGACAUGGCUUUUCCACCAGGUGAGGGCUCGGUCAAUGAAGGUGCAAGCAACAAACUUGACUUUGCUUGCUUCUUGGCAUGAGCAGAUCUCGAAGACCGUUUCGGUAUUUUCGAACCAUUGCAUUAGUGCAAUGAAUCCCCCAAUUCCAUUAAAAGUUUUUGGCUUAACGUUAGAGAACUCCUUGUAAGUACAUUCUCUUACUUAACCACGACCAGUGCCAUGAUUGGAAUGAUUCGUGCUGCUUCCUGCCCCUCCAUUUCCGUUGGAGUUUAUUUGCGAGAGGGCUGCAGUUACUGCUUCUGUGAUAGCAGCCUGGACCAUGGCUGGAUCAUAAGUUGGUGGUGGAGGUGGUGGUGGUGCCGUGCCCUGUCUGGGCCUUCGGUUUGGACGAGGAGGCAUCGCGCUGCCAAAAGAAAAUGAAAGAUUUAUAAGUUUUGGUAGUUCAGAGUUGAAUGAUAAUGAUUUAACUCUCCUUAAUAGUUUAAGAAUUUGGUUUGACCUACACAGGUUUUUGAGUUCGAUUUACAAAUGGAGUUUGAAUAGAUAAACUCAUGAAUUGAAUGAACUGCACAUAAUUAACACACGAAAGAGAUAUGCCCUAUAUAUAUUAAACAUAUGGUUGUGUUACAUCCGAGUUUAGACAAAAAAUUUGACCUUUCUAAGGGUCUCCGAUUACUGAAAGUUUAAAGAAAAUAAUACUUUAGCCGAAGUCCUAACUUAUAACAAAAUUUGAAAGUCGGGCAAGUACUACUUGCGGUGCGGGUUGCGUUUGGAGCUUGACUCUGUGUCUGACUGUUUUGACUCCAUGAGGCGCCUAUCAAACGCGGCUUGUUGUUCCCUCAUUUGCAUUAUUGCUGCGAUCGUGGCAUUCAGUUCUUCUUGGAGGGAAUUAGUGCGGUCUAGGCCAUACCCUUGCAACUUGUCCAAACUGCAGAUGUCGGAAGUGUGCACUUGCACUUCCACAUUGACCUCGCGGAUCCGGUUCGCUUGAACUCCGAAUUGAUAGCACUGGUUGGCUAAUUUGCCAAUCAUGACUGGGAGUGCUCGGUCCGCUGAACCCCCGCCUCUGACAUCGUAGAAGUCUCGGCACAUGCCGUAGGGAGGGCGUAAGCUUUGUUGUUGGCUCCAAUGGUGAAGGUGACUCCGCCACACGGGAGUUGGUCCUUGGAAGUUCCUCACAUAGACGGGAGGUUGUGGGGCCGGUGGAUUGAUUACCUCUGGCUCUGAAUUUGUACCAAAAUCCUCUCCUUCAUCCAACUUUAUAGGUUCCUUGUCUUCUUCGGGAUCUUCUUCGAUCCAUCCUCCAUUACCUUGGUUGGGGUAGUAGGGGUCACCGGGGUGAUGAAAUCCAGCCAUUGAGUCUAUACGAGAAUAGGGUUAAGAAUUGACUAUAAGCUAAAGCAUAUGAAAUUUACCCUUAAGUUUAAUGGUUGUAGAUACUCAAAUACUCCCUUAGUAUUCUUUAGCGAUAUGCUUUUGGUAAGUUUUAAAUUUGUUGUCCAAUACAGAUACUCCUUGGCAUACGUUAGUCGGCUCUUGGACAAAUAUAGUUGAUCAUGCUAUAUUCUUCCCAGUUCCGAUUACAUGUCCCAAGGCGCACCUACACUGCACAACUUAUUUUUAAUACUUCUAUAAUGAUCUAUUUAUGAAACUAUUAUUAGUAUGAAAUGAAUGUACGCCUACUUUAUAGGAACUAAAUAAAUUUAAUUUCAAAAGUAUGACUCUUACUCAGAGUGUUUUUGCCCAGUUGUUUUUAUAGUUGUAUACCAAAAAUGGUUUUGAUAUACUUAAUUCCCUAUAAACAAUGCUCUGAUACCAAUCUGUCACACCCCCAAACCAGAACGGCGGAAACGUUCGGGGGCGAAGGACAUCAUAUCUAGUAUCAUAACAGUUCAUAGAAAGGAAAGUACACACCACCAUAUAUAUAAAAGUUUUCAAAAUGUCUACAUAAUUGUAUUCGUUACAUGUUCAAAAGAUAAAUACAUAGACAUCUUUCAAAAGAAGUAAUUAACGUAAGCGUUAAUCCCUAAAAGUUGAUUUCCAAACCUGCUUAGCGGUUCCCUGAGAAUACAAGUUAUUUCAAAGAAAAAGUGUCAACAAUUAAGUUGGUGAGUUCAUAAGCGGUUUUGAGAAAUUGUAUGCCAUUCCAAAGUUCGUGCGUUUUCCAAGAAAAUCCCUUAUUUUCUUAUAAAAGUAUGAAAUGCAUGAGAAUAUUUGUAUUGAAUAAUGUAGAUAGUUGAAUCAAGAAAAUCCCUUAUUUUCCUAUUAGUUGUUUGUUUUGUAUACAGGAAAAUCCCAUAUUUUCCUAAAGUAAUAGUUAGCCUAAUGUCCCAGACUAAAAACCGAAAGCAAAUGACAUGCUUUAGAAGGUUGAAGCAUAGAUUUAUAUAAUAAAACCUAUUAGAAGAUUUCAGUUUGUUAGAUGAAGAAUAGUUUUAAUAGCUACUCAUUCAUCAAUCAGAAGUACUAUAAUAAUUGUAUAUCCGAUGAGUUUUAUAACCAUACUAAACAUAAUAUGCCUGUAGCGACGUUCUUCAGGCGUCGUAGCGUUAUGACAAACUGUCACCCCAAAGGACGGACUGUAGCUAACAGUCAGGGCACGGGAUCAUGACUUCCCGUAUAGAUCUAUACACAUUUGACACGUUCUCCCUACGGGAGACUCUGGUUAUAGACAUGACUUGAAGUGGUACCUUUUAGCAAAAAGGUAGUAUUUGAAGAUGUAAACAUCUCAUGGAUUCUCAACUAAGUCUGUAUUAAAGUAGUAGUUUUGUAUGCAACAUUUAUUCUUUUUCACAAUGUUUAACCAAGCAUAAGUCAUAAGUUAUUUUAAUGCAUAAAAUGGUUUAACAAUGAUAGUUACCUCGGAUACUAUGUACUUUGUAUAAAUCUAGUGCAUGCAAAGUAUAACAGGAGUUUUCAUAUAGUAGUUAUGAAUCACAUAUGAUUCAUUUGAUAAAAAUGAGCAAAGUGUAACUUUAUGUAACACACGAUAAUAACCGUGUGUUUACUUGUAUUCUCCCCUGAAAUGUAUUAAAAGCACAUUAUAAAGUAUUUGAAAGUGUGUGAAAGGGGGUAUGAACUCACUUGAUUGAAGUGGUUGAUUUGAAGUAUUCGAGAGAAGAAUCGAGCAGAACUUCGACAGGAGGAGUUGAAAAAAGGGAAAAAUCUCGGGAUUCUCGGGAAUCUCGGGAACACAAAACUUUCCUUCGGGAGGGCUUCGGGAGGGCUUCGGGAGCUUAACCGUAGAGUUUCAGCACGAGAGAUGGAAGAAUGGAUCACCUAAACCCGGCACCCCAAGAGUUCUAUUUAUAGGGGCAUUUAUGUUGUGCCACGUCGUGGCUAAGGUUGGCCACGUCGUGGGGAGCAAGCCUCAUCCUCUUACGUUGAUUGGACGGUCUCAGUCACUUGCCGGGUCGCGGCCAAGCUGUGCCACGUUGUGGGGGCCUGACAGCCUCGGAUUUUGGACCUCGAACUUGUAAAAUCCAUAACUUUCGCGUACGAGCUCCAUUUUCGACGUUCUUUAUAUGCACGCGUAGCUAAAAAUAUGAUCUAUAACUCUCGUUUAGACUUCAUCGGCAAAUUUUGACUUUAUUUUUAAUUAUUUAUUUUUAACGAGCCGGGACACGAAAAGUCCGUUAAAAAUCCAUACCUUCUUCAUCCGGUGUCUGUUUUCGUCAGAUUUUUCGCUGUUGCGCUACUAAUGUUGAGAUCUUAGAUUCUCAUUUAGUUUGUUUUGGUCAAAAGUAUCUCGAGCUCUAUUUCGAGUUUUUAGUUGUCUACUGCUAUACCCGAAUCUUGGAAAAAUCAUAACUUCCUCAUACGAAGUCAGAUUUGGACGUUCAUUUGAUGUACGCUCACGAUUUGAGGUUAUCUAUAACUUUCAUUUAGAUACUUAAGGCUAAAACUAUUGUAUUGAAACUUCUCGUUUUUCGUUUAAUCGGUGUUGCCGGUUUUGUCGGAAAUCUUAGAAUGGUCAUAACUUCUUCGUUAUAACUCGGUUUUUCGUGUUCUGAGUAUUUUUAUAAACCUUGACACAUUAUCUAGCAUAAUAGACAUCCCUAUAGAGAGUUUUACACAUUUAAUUUUUGAAGUUAAUUUCAUUUAUUUCAAAAGUAGCUACAAUACUUGACUUUUUAGGUCAUUACAUAGAGUUGAAAUAUCGGGUUGUCACAGAAACUCUCUAGUCUGCUCAUCCAUGCGCUCGUCCCCCGAGCCUGAUCCUGAUCCCUCCCCGGCACCUCCACUGCCGGCUGCUGGCCUCGAAAGCAAAACCACCAUUCUGAAACACAUCAUAGCAACAUCAGAAAACUGAAACAUCUCAAGGGAUCAUUGAUACUACUACUAGCUUCCUGGUCUUGUCUCGGCCUUCCUUGAUUCGAGUACAGAUCCUCUGCUUUCAGUAGUACGGGCCCAUACUACCUUCCACAUCUAUCCGUACUUUCCUCAAGAACUGCCUUGACUCCACCAAGUCACUUCUACUACUACUGAUCUCGGCUACUCUCAUCACCAAGAGUCCUACAAAUCACGAAGCAAGCAGCAUUCGGACACCGAAAACUACUCAAGCAAAUCUAUUCUCAUAACGAGAAACUGUACUAGCAUACAAUGCUAAGCUCGCGUUACCAGGCAUAACCUAAACAGACUAUCCUACUGCUGUCUACUCAAUAUUAGCAUGCAAUUUCAUAAAGCUGGAAUACAUCUAACAGGCACAUAAGGCAUCUUCCUAGAUCCUUAGUCCUAUACUAGCAUGCUGUUCUACUGAAACUGAAACAAUUUAUCAUCAUAAAUAAACUUAUAUGGGUAGCUUGGGAGUACUUACUUGAGCUCGUCUGAUCGCAUGCACCACACCCUUAUCUUGUUAAAAAAAAUUCUUUUCUUUAUAAGUGCUUUUCAAGAUUUCAUUCGAAAACAUUUUUCCUUUUUGAAAAUCUUUUUAUCUUUCCCUUAGUUUGAGUUCAGAUACGCCCGAAGGUGUAUCCGAAUCCCUCAAACCAAGGCUCUGAUACCAACUUGGAACGACCCUAAAAUUUCAAUUUUUAUAACAGAAACCAUGAAACUGAGUAUCACAUAAUAAAACCAUAUGUUGCGUGUUUCAAAAAAACAUAAUAAAAUACUGUGAGAAAAACUGUAUCACAACUAUAUCCAAACAUAACAAGAAACUGAAUCAACUCCCAGGACAAAAACUAAAGUUGUGGUGUGUGCGAUGCCAUCAUCCCGAGCUCCUCCCUUUGCUGGCGGAAGUACCUGAAACCAAAACUGAAACUAUAAGCACGAAGCUUAGUGAGCUCCCCCAGACUACCACAUACCAAACAAUACAUACAUAACACAUACUGGGCCUUGCCCACUUGCUGGGACCUCGUCCCCUGCAUCGGACCGGAGUCCGGACUAACUGACUGGGACCCCGUCCCCUACAUCGAACCGGAGUCCAAAACUGACUGGGACCCCGUCCCCUACAUCAGACCGAAGUCUGAAACUGUCUGGGACCCCAUCCCCUACAUCGGACCGAAGUCCGAAACUGACUGAACACAGCAUAGCAUAACAUAUCAACUAGCAUAAACACAUAAAUCCUGUCUGAGCCACGUAGGUAUCAAACAUACUAACUACUACAUUGGACCGAAGUCCAGAAACUACUGCUAACUGAACGGGCCGGCAUUGCGGCCUUAGACCCGUUCCUACUGGAAGGAAACUCACCUCGUGAACUGGAUGCUGUGUGUAUGGCUCUGGAAACUAACUGUUGCAGCUCCGGUAUCUUCCCGGCUACAAAUCCAUAAACACACUCAAUCAGAUGCUAAUCACUGCAUUGGGUAAAAUGACUCUUUUACCCCUGGUCAAAGUCAACUCUCCCAGUCAAAGUCAACCUACAGUUGACUUGACUCACUGAGUUGGGCCGCCAACUCGCCGAGUCCCUAGUCUCACUUUUCAACCCUACUCGUGGCUACUCGAGUAUGGCAUCGACUCGACGAGUACCCUCUUGAUUCAAAAGCUCAGGCAAUCUGCAUCUGACUCGCCGAGUCAUAUGAACAACUCGACGAGUUGUUCUUCGAUCUAAGAAGAUUGUCUUGGACUCACUGAGUUGUAUGAACAACUCGUCGAGUCUCUCCAUUACUGAGUCUAACCUCCGACUCACUGAGUCCACCCUACUGCUCACUGGCCUCCACUCGGAAUCACUCAAAGGGUAAAGAUCAGGGACCCGCGACCUGACUCGACGAGUCCGAAGAACGACUCGCCGAGUCACAUGCAUGCAGAUUCUAAAAACUCGAUUCUGCUCAAAACCACCACAUACAAUUUAUAGAUCUGAGUUUCUAAGGCUGAUUCACCACAUAAAGUUUCCAACUUUACGUGUACAUACGCAUGAAAAGGGAUAUAAAGGCUAAAGAGGCACUUAGAAGAGUAGAUCUAGGGCUAUCAUGCAAAAUGGCUCUAUAAAGGUGAUAGAUCUACGAUUUUGGAACUGAAACAUGGCUAGAUCCGAAGGCUAAUCAAUCUAAUGUGAUCUCUCUACUAAGAACAAGCUAAGAAAUGGCUAAAAGAGGCUAAAUAUGCUUGUUAAAGAGAAAUCAAUCAUAGAAACAGAAGGAAUUCGGUUAAUACCUCAAUAAACUCUGAAAUGGGUGCAAGACCUUGGAUCUUCUUCUUCUCCUUUGGAUCUAGCCUCCUUCUUCUCUUCAAAACAUCAAGAUUCACACAAGAAAUGCUCAAUAACUCAAAGAAAUGAUUAGGGUUUUCUAAAUGGUGCUCUGAGGGUGAGGGGAUGAGUUUAGGGCUCAUAAGGUGCAAACCCGGGGAUUUAGGGUUUCUACCAGGUAGGCAGACUCAUCGAGUCCCGAAUAUGGACUCGCCGAGUCACCGACUAACACGUGCUCAAAAUCUCAUCCCUACUCGGCGAGUCGGGCCAUAGACUCGCCGAGUCCCUCUCAAAAACUUCUAAAUAAAUGCCACGGAAGCAACAUACCAGAAAUGGGGCGUUACACAUACUACCUUCCAUACCUACCCAUAUUUGUCUCAAGUAUCAUCACAACGCCCUAACAAUAUAAAAUAACAUGGCGAGCGCUAAGUCCUCACUCCUAGAGGAAUGUUAAAUAUCUCAUACUAGCCUACCGACCUCGCACAACCCACCCAUCCAUGAAACUUCCACCAACCUUGCAGAAUUAGUGUAUGCUAGCCAUACAUAACGUUGGACCCUAUAAACAUUCGAAUACUCGAUCCUACUCUAAGCCCACAACCAGACAAGGGACAGGAAAUAAAGCAAAACCAAAUAUUCUCAGGCUAUAAGAUCUUAAUUAUGAACAUCCGUGAUGCAUACACUAAGCUGUUGGAAUAGUGUCUAAGGCUAUAACUAUAUUCGGUGGUGCANNNNNNNNNNNNNNNNNNNNNNNNNNNNNNNNNNNNNNNNNNNNNNNNNNNNNNNNNNNNNNNNNNNNNNNNNNNNNNNNNNNNNNNNNNNNNNNNNNNNUGGCUAUUGGUCAAGGGAAGGGAAAGAAGAGGAAAGCUUCUUCAAGUAACUAUCGAAAGGUAAAAGCCCGAGAUGGUUCCUCUUCUAGUGGGACCAAAGUUGAUCCCUCUAAGCCCUGCUCUAACCCGAAGGAGGCAGAGUGCCACCACUGCCANAAGCUGCCCGGAUUACCUGCAAGCAAUCAAAGAAGGAAAGAUCAAGCCAUCUUUCGCAGGUAUAUAUACAAUCAAAUCUAACGAUUCUAAUCAUGCUAUUUCUUGGGUUCUUGAUACCGGUUGUGGUUAUCACAUUUGUUCUAAUGUGCAGGGACUAAGAAGAAGUAGGGAUGUGGAGCAAGGAAGGAUCAAUCUAAUCAUGGGGAACAGAAGAUCGUCGCCUGUGACCAAGAUUGGAGUGUAUUCCUUAGUGCUUAGGAAUAGUUUAGUUUUAGAUUUGAACAAUUGUUGCUAUUCGCCAGAAAUGGCAAGAAACAUCAUUUCAUUUCAUGGUUUAUAUAGACAAGGAUUUAGAUUUUCUUUUAAUAAUGAGAAUGGUUCUAUUUUGGCUUAUCUAAAUGGUGUCUUUUACUUUGAAGCUAUACCAUGUAAUGGAAUAUAUGAAACCGUUAUGAUUGUUGAUAACUUAGGAAAUGAUGUUUUGAAUAUUGAUUCUUCCACUAGUAUGUAUAAAGCAUCCUUGUGGCAUUGUCGUCUUGGACAUGUCAACAAGAAACGCAUAGCCCAACUCCAAAAGGAUGGAGUGUUGGAGUCAUUCUACCUUAGGGAAGAUGACACAUGCGAGUCUUGUUUGCUUGGAAAGAUGACUAAGUCACCCUUCACGAGUACAUGUGAAAGGGGCGAGGGUCUAUUGGACCUAAUACAUACCGAUGUAUGUGGACCGUUUAGAUCAACCACGAAGGAUGGGAACCGCUUCUAUGUGACUUUUACCGAUGACUAUAGUAGAUAUGGGUAUAUCUACUUAAUCAAGCAAAAGUCAGAAACCUUUGAAAAGUUCAAAGAGUUCAAGAAUGAAGUGGAGAAUCAAUUGGGCAGGAAAAUCAAGAUGCUUCGAUCCGAUCGAGGAGGAGAGUACCUAAGUCUUGAAUUCCACGAUUAUCUCAAGGAGUGUGGAAUAGUUUCGCAAUUGACGCCUCCUAGGACACCGCAGUUGAAUGGUGUGGCAGAAAGGCGUAAUCGAACCUUAUUGGAUAUGGUUCGCUCUAUGAUGAGUCGUGCUUCACUACCAAUCUCUUUUUGGGGGUAUGCCUUAGAGACUGCCGCCCAUAUCCUUAACCGAGUCCCUACUAAGAAGGUUGCCAAAACACCUCACGAGAUGUGGACAGGGAAAGCUCCCUCGUUGGCACAUAUCAAGGUUUGGGGUUGCGAGGCUUUCGUAAGACGAGAUACUCACGACAAGCUUGAACCUCGAAGUGAGCGAUGUAUUUUCAUCGGCUACCCGCAGACAUCCUUUGGAUAUCUCUUCUAUAGACCGAAGGACAAUGUUGUCUUCGUUGCGAGGAGAGGAGUUUUCCGAGAGCGAGAACUCAUAAGCCAAGGAGACAGUGGGAGGCAAAUCGAGCUUGAAGAGAUUCAAGAGUCGAUAGAUGAAGGAACCUCUACCGCUGGCACUCAACCCGAGGAGGAAACUCCGGUUGAACCGAUUGACGAAUCCUUACCUCUUAGACGUUCCGAUAGAGUUAGAGUUCAACCCCAGUUUUAUGGUUUUCAUAUUACUACCGAAGGGGACACGUAUAUUAGUGAUGGUACACUAAUAAAUCUUGAUGAACCUAAUAGCUAUAAGGAAGCCAUGGCAGGCCCGGAGUCUGCAAAAUGGAAAGAGGCAAUGGAUAGCGAGAUCCAAUCCAUGUAUGAUAACCAAGUUUGGAAUUUGGUUGAUUAUGUGCCCGGACGUAAGACCGUUGGGUGCAAAUGGAUCUUCAAGAAGAAGACCGACGUGGAUGGAAACGUACACACAUAUAAAGCGCGAUUGGUUGCGAAGGGCUUUACUCAAACUCCCGGAGUUGACUAUGAUGAGACCUUCUCACCAGUUGCGAAGAUUAAAUCUAUUAGAGUGAUGCUAGCAAUUGCCGCAUUUCAUGAUUAUGAGAUUUGGCAAAUGGAUGUCAAGACCGCUUUCCUUAACGGAAAGUUGGCUGAGGAUGUUUACAUGGCUCAGCCAGAGGGGUUUGUGGAUCCGAAGCAUCCGAAUAGAGUGUGUAAGCUUGAGAAGUCCAUUUAUGGACUUAAGCAAGCGUCUCGCAGAUGGAAUCUUUGCUUCGAUGAGAAAGUCAAAGAGUUUGGAUUUGUACGAAGCGAAGACGAAUCUUGUGUAUAUGUCAAAGCCAGUGGGAGUAUAGUAAGCUUCCUCGUUCUAUAUGUCGAUGACAUAUUACUCAUAGGAAACGACAUCCCGACUCUGCAGGAGGUUAAGUCCUGGCUCGGGAAGUGCUUCGCUAUGAAGGACCUCGGAGAGGCUUCUUACAUUUUGGGAAUAAGGAUAGUAAGAGAAAGAAGUAAGAGACUAAUUGGACUUAGUCAGAAUACUUACUUAGAGAAGGUACUAAAACGUUUUAGUAUGGAAAACUCAAAGAAGGGAGAACUACCGAUACAAGGAAAUGCCAAGUUGAGUAAGACUCAAAGUCCGAGUACCGAAGCCGAGAUAGCAGAAAUGAGCCGAGUACCAUACGCUUCCGCAGUUGGCUCAAUCAUGUACGCUAUGACUUGUACUCGCCCUGAUGUAGCCUUCGCUUUGAGCAUGGUUAGCAGAUAUCAAGGGAAUCCUGGCA